GACAGAGGUGCCAAGCGUUAGGCGGAAUCACUGGGCUUAAAGCGUGUGUAGGCGGGUGCCUAAGUACCUUGUGAAAUCCCACGGCUCAACCGUGGAACUGCUGGGGUAUACUGGGUGCCUUGGGUCAUCUAGGGGCUGCCGGAACAAAUGGUGGAGCGGUGAAAUGCGUAGAUAUCAGGAGGAACACCGGUGGCGAAGGCGGGUCUCUGGGCCGAUACUGACGCUGGAGGAGCGAAAGCGUGGGGAGCGAACAGG
rnacentral:rRNA from 1 species